rnacentral:rRNA from 1 species
UACGAAGGGGGCUAGCGUUGCUCGGAAUCACUGGGCGUAAAGGGUGCGUAGGCGGGUCUUUAAGUCAGGGGUGAAAUCCUGGAGCUCAACUCCAGAACUGCCUUUGAUACUGAAGAUCUUGAGUCUGGGAGAGGUGAGUGGAACUCCGAGUGUAGAGGUGAAAUUCGUAGAUAUUCGGAAGAACACCAGUGGCGAAGGCGGCUCACUGGCCCCGGUACUGACGCUGAGGUGCGAAAGCGUGGGGAGCAAACAGGG